rnacentral:SRP_RNA from 1 species
CGGCGGGCUAGCCCGGGUAAUUCGGCGUUACCUGUAACCCGAAACCGUCGAUAGCGGGGGGCGAAGCCAGAGGAAGAAGUUUUGACUGUUGCCCGGCCCGCAGGUUCUACUGUGAAACCCCGUCCUGUGGGGCUAGUGUCGGUGCAAGGGCUUUCCUGAAGGAAGGUUUUUGUAUCUUAAUUGCGGACAAAGGUCUAGGCCCGGAAGGGAGCAAACCAGCCGUGAACAACUAACGCUCAUGGGGGCGCGGGGCGGAGGCGAAUCUGCGGUCAACCGGACAGCGGAAGGGACUACGACCCGAGGCAUGCCCGCUA